rnacentral:misc_RNA from 1 species
GUUUUCUUUGAUGUGGAUUCGUGGAUUUGGAGAAAAUUUGCUUUACCUUUUGUGGGAAUUUGUGAAAAAUGACGUUUUCGUUAGUGAUUUGCUGAUGCAAGUGUAUUGGUAUUAAUUUGGGGUGUUUUGGCUGGAGUUUUCCCUCUGUUUCAUCCUGUGUUUAUGGACUCUUUCUUUUAGGCUUGUAGUUAAAUAUGGAUAAAUUGGCAAUUUUCCUUGAUUAUUUAAUGGCGGACUUGGGUUUGAACUAGAAUCUUGAUGCGAGUGUCAUAAACCAAAGGUAUGAGUUGCAAUAGACGAAAAUUUCGAAAUCUUUAUGCGUUUUAUGGACCGAAAUGUUAGUUUGCGCCAGGCAAAGUUAGUGGAGAGUGGAGACUUCUAUUUUGUUGGUUGUCAAUUAGUGGAAGCUGAGAAUUCAGAUUCUGAUUUCUUGAAAGUUCAUUUCUUUGUGACCUUUCCUCAACAGCCAUAGAAUUUAUGUUUGUAGCCAAGUGUGCUUCUUUGUUCAUUGUUUUAUUCAUAUUCAUUAUUUAACUUCGAUUAUUUCAUUGAACAAUGCAAUUUUCUAACUUGUGAGGCCUGAUUUCUGUUAUUGUGGCAG